AACGAACGCUGGCGGCAUGCCUAACACAUGCCAGUCGAACGAGACCUUCGGGUCUAGUGGCGCACGGGUGCGUAACGCGUGGGAACCUGCCCUUAGGUUCGGAAUAACUCCCCGAAAGGGGUGCUAAUACCGGAUAAUGUCUUCGGACCAAAGAUUUAUCGCCUUUGGAUGGGCCCGCGUUGGAUUAGCUAGUUGGUAGGGUAAAAGCCUACCAAGGCGACGAUCCAUAGCUGGUCUGAGAGGAUGAUCAGCCACACUGGGACUGAGACACGGCCCAGACUCCUCCGGGAGGCAGCAGUGGGGAAUAUUGGACAAUGGGCGAAGCCUGAUCCAGCAAUGCCGCGUGAGUGAUGAAGGCCUUAGGGUUGUAAAGCUCUUUUACCCGGGAUGAUAAUGACAGUACCGGGAGAAUAAGCUCCGGCUAACUCCGUG
rnacentral:rRNA from 1 species